AGGGAUGUACCCGUGGGAGGAGGACCACAAACCAACAGCGUCACAUAUGCAACUGUGAGAAUUGUUCCACGGCCGAUGCCUCCAGCGGAUGCUGGUAUCAUCUAUGCCAAUCUGGCCUUAGGAAACAGGAAUGAGCAGGACGGUGAAGCCAGUGAUGGAGAUGGUCCUGUCUACGCCACAGUCAGAGUUUAGUGUGGAGGCCAAUGACCACGACUUGCUUUAUUUCCUCGCUCUAUCAGCCCACCAUCCACUAUAUUCAAUUUCACCUUCAUUCUGACAUCAACGGGGCUCUUACAUCACAUCUCACGCUAACCCACAUAGAGACUGAGUUACACACUGAGGAAUAAGGAGCGAGGGAGUGAAUGCGUAAGAGUGAGAGAGUUUGUGAGAGAGAAAGAUAAAGGGAGACCGAAUGAGAGACAGAGAGACUGAAUAUGUGAGAUGGAGUGAGAGAUUGAGGGAGGUACUGAGACUGGGAGAGCAAAGGAGGGACUGAGAGAGAGAUUGUGAUUGAAUGCGACUGAGCGAUUGAAUGAGAAUGA